rnacentral:rRNA from 1 species
UGGGGAAUUUUGGACAAUGGGCGCAAGCCUGAUCCAGCCAUGCCGCGUGAGUGAAGAAGGCCUUCGGGUUGUAAAGCUCUUUCGGCCGGGACGAAAUCGCACUUUCUAAUACGAGGUGUGGAUGACGGUACCGGAAGAAGAAGGACCGGCUAACUACGUGCCAGCAGCCGCGGUAAUACGUAGGGUCCGAGCGUUAAUCGGAAUUACUGGGCGUAAAGCGUGCGCAGGCGGUCUCGCAAGUCCGAUGUGAAAUCCCCGAGCUUAACUUGGGAACUGCGUUGGAAACUACGAGGCUAGAGUGCGGCAGAGGGGGGUGGAAUUCCACGUGUAGCAGUGAAAUGCGUAGAGAUGUGGAGGAACACCGAUGGCGAAGGCAGCCCCCUGGGCUAGCACUGACGCUCAUGCACAAAAGCGUGGGGAGCAAACAGGAUUAGAUACCCCCGUAGUCC